GGAGUCGUCGCAUAGUCCGGCCUCGUGCACCACCCUGCUAAGGUGGAGAACCCUCACGGGUUCCGAGGGUUCAAAUCCCUCCGUCUCCGCAA
rnacentral:tRNA from 1 species